UCCUCGACCGGAGACCCUGUCCCAACGCUGUCCUCUCUCUGCAGAGAGUCAUCCAGGCCCAGGGUGAGUACUGGCGGUCGUUGAGGGCGGUGGCCCACACAGUGGAUCAGUCAUACAUGCAGGCCCAAGGACACAGUCUGAGACGUGGCUCAGAGGACCACAAUGACACCGUCUCUGCCCUGGCCUCUCUCUCCAUGGCCAGCCUCACCACAAACAGGACACAACCAGAUGAACUUAGUGGAGGGACAGAGACUCCAUGUAGACAAGUGCACUUUCCAAUAAACCUAUCACACACUCACA